UCAGGAACAGCAGCGUCACCAGCACCGCCGACGCCAUCACGAUGUUCGACACCGCCGUCUUGCACCCCGCGCUGUAGUUCACCGCCGACCUCGAGAACGAUCCUGCGUCCAUUCAUUCAGAGUUUUUUUUGCCAAUGGUGCCUUACAGUGAGAGAUAGUAUGCCAGUCAUAAUUCCUGUGUUUAAGGCCAGUCCUACGUAGGAGCCACUGAAGGUCAGCAUAUUCGCUGAAGGAGGGUUCAAUCCCUUGGGGAGAUCGCCAAUCUGUCCAAACACCACCCAAAAAAAGAUGAAUUAGUGUGACUAAUGACGUUUCUUUCAUGUUCUCGAUGUGAAGCUGUCCAUGAAAGAUUCAGAAAUGGUUUAGAGAAGCUACUCACAACACUGAUGCCAUGAGCUUUGCUGACGAACGAGAUGAUGGUAGAGAUGAUCACUGAUGUCAGUGGAGCAGCUGCUGACACCCAGAAAAGCUUUGGGUUCCUGGCGCUCUGCAAAAAUACAGUGAAAAUUGUUACCGGCUGCAUACUCGCAUCAAAGUCAGAGAAAAUUGUAUACAGCGAACUGAAGAAUCAGAAGGUGAGGAACAGCGUCAUUACAAAGCAGAUGACUUACUUUUCUCAGAGGAAAACCAUUAACAGUCUAAUGGAUGUGUUUAUCAGAUCAUUCUGUUUAGACUGAAAAGACACCGAAAUUCAGAGAGAUGAGCAUGUGAACAACCAGCUUAACAGGUGACACGUCAGAGUGGCCAAACCAGAUCCAUUCUUCCCAAAAGGGAAAAGAGAAAUGUUCCAAUUGAAAAUGGCUUUAUUAGAAUAUAUUCUAAAGCCACACACACGCCUUGCUUUAAUUGAUGUAUAUGGUCUAAUCGUAUUAAGACUAAUGCAAGAUAUAAACAUUCUUUGUUUUUGUUUAGUU